GGGGAUGUUCAUAUUUGACGUCCUAGAAGUUGAUGAACGUGCAAAUUGGGGCAAUGCCUUUUACGUCCCACAUAAAAACCUUAAAGGCAACACAAACGGCAACUUAGCCAAUGCGAUUAAGACACGAGUAGCCGCGCUUAUAAACGCAGUGAAACUGCCUGCACUCGCACCUGCUUUUGCGUAAUUAUACGCGGGAGCCAUCCAGCGAGGUCAUGCUCCAUAGCCUCGCUCGGGUGCCAAACUCAUGGAGCGUAGGGCUUUCUCGCGUUAACCGUCACUGCCCGAAACCUCUUUUGUUAACUCGGCAAGAAAUAUUGCGCUCUGGCUUAUGAUUUCUCGCCUAAACAAAAAGCCGCAGACAAGUUUGUAGACCGUUUAUCAAAACCUAGGGCAGACAGGGGUGCAAUACCCCUCAUCUCCACCA
rnacentral:tmRNA from 1 species